GGGAGGGUCUUUGUUGUGUUUGAGUAUUGGUAAGACUAUUGCCUCUUUCCAAGAUGAAGGUAUAUGACCAGUUGCAAAAAUCUUAUUGUAAAGACCUAAGAUACAGUUUAGGGUCUCAUCAGGCAGAUUGUUGAUUAUUUCAUAUGUUAUUGUGUCAGAACCUGGAGCCGAGCUGUCACAAGAGCCUAGGGCAAGCUUGAGUUCAUGGAAUGUUAGUGGUUUGUUGUAUCCUUCUGAUGAAGACUUGUUUGGACGCAGAGGAAUAUUUUCAGCUAAUCUUUUAUGGUGGCACGUCCUAGAGUAGGCUGGAUGGCUU
rnacentral:lncRNA from 1 species